GCGUCGGUGGUUCAGUGGUAGAAUACUCGCCUGCACGCGGGUGGCCCGGGUUCGAUUCCCGGCCGACGCA
rnacentral:tRNA from 1 species